rnacentral:rRNA from 1 species
CUCUGUGUUACGGGAUGAAUUGGAUGUUGCCGAUAAAGCAACGUUUUUGACGUUACCGUAGUAGAAAGCCCCAGCUAACUACGUGCCAGCAGCUGCGGUAAUACGUAGGGGGCAAGCGUUGUCCGGAAUCACUGGGCGUAAAGCGCGCGUAGGCGGUGGAGUAAGUCAGACGUGAAAGGGUUCGGCUCAACCGAGCCAUUGCGUUUGAUACUACCUCACUUGAGUCUAGAAGAGGAAAGUGGAAUGUAUGGUGUAGCGGUGGAAUGCUUAGAUAUCAUAUAGAACACCCGUGGCGAAGGCGGCUUUCUGGUCUAAGACUGACGCUCAUGCGCGAAAGUUUGGGGAGCAACCGGGAUUAGAUACCCCGCUAGUCCUUACUGUAAACGAUGGGUACUAAGUGUAGGGGGAUUCAAUCCCUCUGUGCUGUAGCUAACGCAUUAAGUACCCCGCCUGGGGAGUACGGCCGCAAGGUUAAAACUCAAGGUAAUUGACGGGGGGCCGCACAAGCGGUGGAGCAUGUCGCUCAAUUCGACGCAACGCGAAGAACUUUACCAGGGCUUGACAUCUUAGUGACCGCCAUAGAAAUAUGG